rnacentral:rRNA from 1 species
GAUGGACGCUAGCGGCAGGCUUAACACAUGCAAGUCAGGGGUAACAUAGAAAAGCUUGCUUUUCUGAUGACGACCGGCGCACGGGUGCGUAACGCGUAUACAACCUACCUUUUAGCGGGGAAUAGCCCAGGGAAACUUGGAUUAAUGCCCCAUAGUAUAUAGACUUCUCCUGAAGUUUAUAUUAAACAUUUAUGGCUAUUAGAUGGGUAUGCGUCCUAUUAGUUAGUUGGUAAGGUAACGGCUUACCAAGGCAGCGAUAGGUAGGGGUCCUGAGAGGGAGAUCCCCACACUGGUACUGAGACACGGACCAGACUCCUACGGGAGGCAGCAGUGAGGAAUAUUGGACAAUGGGCGAGAGCCUGAUCCAGCCAUGCCGCGUGCAGGAAGACUGCCCUAUGGGUUGUAAACUGCUUUUACAGAGGAAGAACCACCCCCACGUGUGGGGGUUUGACGGUACUCUGCGAAUAAGGAUCGGCUAACUCCGUG